CACAUGCAAGUCGAGGGGCAGCAUGAUUGAAGCUUGCUUCAAUUGAUGGCGACCGGCGCACGGGUGAGUAACGCGUAUCCAACCUUCCGUACACUCAGGGAUAGCCUUUCGAAAGAAAGAUUAAUACCCGAUGGUAUGAUGAGAUUGCAUGAUAGCAUCAUUAAAGAUUUAUCGGUGUACGAUGGGGAUGCGUUCCAUUAGGUAGUAGGCGGGGUAACGGCCCACCUAGCCGACGAUGGAUAGGGGUUCUGAGAGGAAGGUCCCCCACAUUGGAACUGAGACACGGUCCAAACUCCUACGGGAGGCAGCAGUGAGGAAUAUUGGUCAAUGGACGAGAGUCUGAACCAGCCAAGUAGCGUGAAGGAUGAAGGUCCUACGGAUUGUAAACUUCUUUUAUAAGGGAAUAAAACCUCCCACGUGUGGGAGCUUGUAUGUACCUUAUGAAUAAGCAUCGGCUAACUCCGUGCCAGCAGCCGCGGUAAUACGGAGGAUGCGAGCGUUAUCCGGAUUUAUUGGGUUUAAAGGGAGCGCAGACGGGUCGUUAAGUCAGCUGUGAAAGUUUGGGGCUCAACCUUAAAAUUGCAGUUGAUACUGGCGUCCUUGAGUGCGGUUGAGGUGUGCGGAAUUCGUGGUGUAGCGGUGAAAUGCUUAGAUAUCACGAAGAACUCCGAUUGCGAAGGCAGCACACUAAGCCGUAACUGACGUUCAUGCUCGAAAGUGUGGGUAUCAAACAGGAUUAGAUACCCUGGUAGUCCACACGGUAAACGAUGGAUACUCGCUGUUGGCGAUAUACAGUCAGCGGCUUAGCGAAAGCGUUAAGUAUCCCACCUGGGGAGUACGCCGGCACGGUGAAACUCAGAGGAAUUGACGGGGGCCCGCAC
rnacentral:rRNA from 1 species